AACGAACGCUGGCGGCAGGCCUAACACAUGCAAGUCGAGCGAGGACUUCGGUCCUAGCGGCGGACGGGUGAGUAACGCGUGGGAACGUGCCCUUUGCUUCGGAAUAGCCCUGGGAAACUGGGAGUAAUACCGGAUGAGCCCUUUGGGGGAAAGAUUUAUCGGCGAAGGAUCGGCCCGCGUUGGAUUAGGUAGUUGGUGGGGUAAUGGCCUACCAAGCCGACGAUCCAUAGCUGGUUUGAGAGGAUGAUCAGCCACACUGGGACUGAGACACGGCACAGACUCCUACGGGAGGCAGCAGUGGGGAAUCUUAGACAAUGGGGGAAACCCUGAUCUAGCCAUGCCGCGUGAGCGAUGAAGGCCUUAGGGUUGUAAAGCUCUUUCAGCUGGGAAGAUAAUGACGGUACCAGCAGAAGAAGCCCCGGCUAACUCCGUG
rnacentral:rRNA from 1 species